rfam:Otolemur garnettii contig050352, whole genome shotgun sequence.
UCGGUGUACAGACAGUAUGUUGGAGCAGGAGUCAGCCGCUGGGCCUUAACGGGAACCACGUGCAGACACUGGCGCCCUUCCAUCUCCUGACCU